rnacentral:lncRNA from 1 species
GAGAGGCGCGAGCGGAAGCGGCCGGGAAGGUCACUUCCGGCCUGGGCGCCCGUCCCCCUGACCCCAGGGUCUGAGUCGCCGCUGCCGCCGCUGCCACCAUCCGCGAGGCAGGCGAGAGGAAGAGUGCGGCGUGACGGCCCCGGGGCCGCGGAGGGACCCAGAUAUGGAGCUUCGAGAAGAAGCUUGGUCUCCGGGGCCACUGGAUUCUGAGGACCAGCAGAUGGCCAGUCAUGAGAACCCAGCAUUAUUAGGUUGAAAAACUCACCUGUGGGUUACGUGGAGCCUAGGUGUUUUGGGUAAGACCCAUCCUGGUCCACCAACACCCUCCUCCCUCUCCCUGGUGAUUCCAGCCUGAUGACAAGAAAGCUCAUGCGAAGGCACAGUGGGCCAAGUUGUGUGUCUGACACCUGGAGCAGACGGCAUUGGCUUUCUCCAUGUUAAUAAAUUGGUGCUUACAACACAUUGCUUCAGUGUUCCUUAGACUUUGCUGUCAUGGCCCAAGGUUGUUGUCACCUCCACCUGUACACUGCCACAUACCCAUUUGUGUGGGGUUGCAAUAAAAGUUUGGCACAAUCC